CACAUACACACACACACAUACACACACACACACACACACACACACACACACACACGAUCUUAGCAAUGACCCUUGCUGUUAGGCAUAGUCCAGGGUGACUCAGACUCACAGCAUGGACCUCCUCUUAAGCAAACACAAGGCCAUAGUCACACUGUGACACACCAGCCCACACACAACAGCCAAACUUGGCCUGGCAGGCCCUCACAUCAGUGCAGUACCCAGGUAUGCACAGACAGGCUUUCACACAAAUUCAGCCCAUUUCUCCAGAUCCUGUUUGGGGAGGGGGGUAAGUUAUGCACUUAUAAGGUGUUUUCUGUGUAAUCAUUUUAUAAAGUGCUUGUGUAAUUUAUGUGGAAAGAGAAUAAAACCCUCCGGUUCAGGAGUCGGGCGUCUGCUCCUUGCUGAGUCCA